GGGGAGGAGUCUGCAAACUUUCAGUUCAAGGGCAUUGUGGGAAGUAGCCAUGGUCUGAGGCUGGCGCCUCACCUGUCAGCCGGCCUGGCUGCUAAGCUAUCUUCUGGCUGUCGCAUCCUUAGCGAUCGCCGCUGUCGCGACCCGGACGGCUGCGACCACCAUGAUACAUUUCAUCUUGCUCUUCAGUCGACAAGGGAAACUACGGCUGCAGAAAUGGUACACCACGCUCCCUGACAAAGAGAGGAAGAAGAUCACCAGAGAGAUUAUCCAGACCGUGCUCUCCCGUGGGCACAGGACAAGCAGCUUCAUCGACUGGAAAGAGCUCAAACUUGUGUAUAAAAGGUAUGCUAGUUUAUAUUUUUGCUGUGCAAUAGAAAAUCAAGACAAUGAGCUCUUGACACUAGAGAUUGUACAUCGUUAUGUGGAGUUACUGGACAAAUACUUUGGAAAUGUCUGUGAGCUGGAUAUUAUCUUUAAUUUUGAAAAGGCGUAUUUUAUCCUGGAUGAAUUUAUAAUAGGUGGAGAAAUUCAGGAAACAUCCAAGAAAACAGCAGUCAAAGCCAUUGAAGACUCUGAUAUGUUACAGGAGGUCAAGAGUCAAGAGGAUUUCAAGAAUUGUAAAGUACCUAUUUAAAAUUGGUACUAAAGCCAUUCUUCCUGCUAUUUGGAAAUAAGAGACUGAUUAAGUUAAUAAGACAUUAGGCAUGAUUUCCCAGCAACUGUCUUGGCAGUACUUUGAGCUGAUUUCUUACUUCUGCCCAUGGAGGGACUCCAUCCUCAGACAAUGGAAGAAUACAUGAACAAGCCCACAUUUUAAGUGUGCAGUCUACUUGAAGAUUCUGAGUGCUUCGUGUUGUGAAUCUACAAAUAAGCAACUCUUUGCUUCCAGUCUCCACACAGCUUCUGGCACCAUGCCAAAAAAAUGUAAAGGGAUCCCAUGUUAGCUAGCAAAACU